CCUACGUGAGGCAGCAGUGGGGAAUAUUGCACAAUGGGGGAAACCCUGAUGCAGCGACGCCGCGUGAGUGAAGAAGUAAUUCGUUAUGUAAAGCUCUAUCAGCAGGGAAGAAAAUGACGGUACCUGAGUAAGAAGCCCCGGCUAACUACGUGCCAGCAGCCGCGGUAAUACGUAGGGGGCAAGCGUUAUCCGGAUUUACUGGGUGUAAAGGGAGCGUAGACGGCAGUGCAAGUCUGGAGUGAAAGGCGGGGGCUCAACCCCCGGACUGCUCUGGAAACUGUACGGCUGGAGUGCAGGAGAUGUAAGUGGAAUUCCUAGUGUAGCGGUGAAAUGCGUAGAUAUUAGGAGGAACACCAGUGGCGAAGGCGGCUUACUGGACUGUAACUGACGUUGAGGCUCGAAAGCGUGGGGAGCAAACAGGAUUAGAUACCCGAGUAGUC
rnacentral:rRNA from 1 species